rnacentral:tRNA from 1 species
CAGAGUAUAGCUCAGUGGUAGAGCCCAUGCUUAGCAUACACAAGGUCCUGGGUUCAAUCCCCAGUACCUGC